rnacentral:rRNA from 1 species
CUCCUACGGGAGGCAGCAGUGGGGAAUCUUAGACAAUGGGCGCAAGCCUGAUCUAGCCAUGCCGCGUGAGUGAUGAAGGCCCUAGGGUCGUAAAGCUCUUUCGCCAGGGAUGAUAAUGACAGUACCUGGUAAAGAAACCCCGGCUAACUCCGUGCCAGCAGCCGCGGUAAUACGGAGGGGGUUAGCGUUGUUCGGAAUUACUGGGCGUAAAGCGUACGUAGGCGGAUCAGAAAGUUGGGGGUGAAAUCCCGGGGCUCAACCUCGGAACUGCCUCCAAAACUCCUGGUCUAGAGUUCGAGAGAGGUGAGUGGAACUCCGAGUGUAGAGGUGAAAUUCGUAGAUAUUCGGAAGAACACCAGUGGCGAAGGCGGCUCACUGGCUCGAUACUGACGCUGAGGUACGAAAGUGUGGGGAGCAAACAGGAUUAGAUACCCUGGCAGUCCACACCGUAAACGAUGAAUGCCAGUCGUCGGAUAGUAUACUAUUCGGUGACACACCUAACGGAUUAAGCAUUCCGCCUGGGGAGUACGGUCGCAAGAUUAAAACUCAAAGGAAUUGACGG